AUUGAACGCUGGCGGCAUGCUUUACACAUGCAAGUCGAACGGCAGCGCGGGCUUCGGCCUGGCGGCGAGUGGCGAACGGGUGAGUAAUACAUCGGAACGUGCCCAGUAGUGGGGGAUAGCUCGGCGAAAGCCGGAUUAAUACCGCAUACGACCUGAGGGUGGAAGCGGGGGAUCUUCGGACCUCGCGCUAUUGGAGCGGCCGAUGGCAGAUUAGCUAGUUGGUGGGGUAAAGGCCUACCAAGGCGACGAUCUGUAGCUGGUCUGAGAGGACGACCAGCCACAAUGGGAAUGAGACACGGCCCAGACUCCUAAGGGAGGCAGCAGUGGGGAAUUUUGGACAAUGGGCGAAAGCCUGAUCCAGCAAUGCCGCGUGUGUGAUGAAGGCCUUCGGGUUGUAAAGCACUUUUGGCGGGAACGAAAAGGACUGUGCCAAUACCACGGUUCGAUGACGGUACCCGCAGAAUAAGCACCGGCUAACUACGUG
rnacentral:rRNA from 1 species